CCACCAAUAGCUCAGUUGGUAGAGCGGGAGACUGUAGUGUUCAACGUCAUCUCUAGGUCACUUGUUCGAAUCAGGUUUGGUGGA